ensembl:lncRNA
GGGCCUAACUGGCCUGGGUCCUUCUCUCAGGGGGGCCACAGGGAUUAAAUACUGUGACCUUUCUCCCCCGACCUCCAGUCUUCCGUCAGCUCCCAUUGGCUGAACCCAACGAGAAGUCAGAGGAAAAAGAGCAGGAUCCGAGGAGUGAACGAAGAUGCGGAGCCCAGGAUGACCAGCAGGACACAGGCAGUGCUGGCACUGGAAAGAAACCUUCCGCCGAAAACGAGACUGGCUAGCUUCCUGAAGGAAGAGGAACUAGGAACCAGCCUGCCUCCAGCCCCUGUUGACUUGUGCUGAUGGGAUGCCCUAAAGCUUAAGCUUCCUUCCCUGCACGUUUCAGUUACCCUGUAGUCAGCCAUGUUGGAAAAUAUCAAGUGGGACAUUUCAGAAAUAACAAUUCAUAAGUUUAAAAUUACAUGCCAUUCUUAGUAGCUGAAGAAUUGAUGCUUUUGAACUGUGGUGUUGGAGAAGACUCUUGAGAGUCCGUUGGUCUGCAAGGAGAUCCAACCAGUCCAUCCUAAAGGAGAUCAAACUUGAACAUCCAUUGGAAGGACUGAUGCUGAAGAUGAAGCUUCAAUACUUUGGCCACCUGAUGCGAAGAAAUGAUUCAUUGAAAAAGCCCCUGAUGCUGGGAAAGACCGAAGGCAGAAGAAGGGGACGACAGAGGAUGAGAUGGUUGGGUGGCAUCACCAAUUCGAUGGACAUGAAUUUCAGCAAGCUCCAGGAGUUGGUGAUGGGCAGGGAAGCCUAGCGUGCUGAAGUCCAUGGUGUCGCAAAGAGUUGGACAUGACUGAGCGACUCAACUGAACUGAGCAGUGUGAUGAAAUCUCGAGAGUCCUGCUUCAUCCCACCUCCUCCCACUGAGCCGUGAAUCAUCCUUUUAUUCAGGGUAUCUCUUCCAUUAGCGUUUAGUAGCCAUCUCGGUCACUAGCAUGACCGUCAUAAUACUGUGGUGCUUGUGCUUGAGUCACCUUUGUUUUACUUAAUAAUGGCCCCAAAGUGCAAGAGUUGUGAUGCUGGCAAUUCGGACAUGCCAAAGAGAAGUCGCAAAGUGCCUUCUUUAAGUGAAAAGGUGAAAGUUCUACAUUUAAUAAGGAAUGAAAAAAAUCCUAUGCUAAGGUUGCUAAGAUCUAUGAAUUCAUAUCAGAAUUGUGCAAACAGAAAUAUCCAAGAAAACAACUAUAGUCCCAGGUUACCUGGUUGGUAGCUGGUACAGUGGGGCCAGAGCCCACGCACAAGCAUUUCCCAGGUAAGUCUAUUCUUG